UAUAUUAUCGUGAAAUGCAACGUGAUUGGUGAGAUGGGGUUGCACGCGUAGGCAGUUAGCGUGUGUGUACCAAAAUAGAGAGAAUUUGAGAAAAGGAAAGAGAGAGAGAGAGAGGAGUUUUUUUUAUUAUUACUACUACCAGCAGCUGCUGCUUCUGCUGCUGCUGCUGAUCAUGCUUAAAAUUAGGGCCAGAUUGGGUGAACUCACGCCUACCCAAAACCAGAUACAAUCCACUUUUCUUUUUUAGCUGUGGAUUGAGCAACCUCAGCUGGGAUCUGAUCAACUGCGGUGGCUAAAUUGCUGGCGAUGGCAGCCUAUCCUAUGUCUUCGAAGGAUAGACACUGGACAGUGAUUGGAUGAUCAAUCAAGAUUUGGUUAGGUAGGAGUGCUUACGACAUCUUGCAAUCCUUCCAAACACUACAAGAUAACAACAACAGCUUCUUGGAUUCUUGUUCGUAAUUUCAUGCUGUUUGUCACUGGUUAUAAAUCCACAAACAGCCCACCUUCCUGUACUCGAUGCAGCCCGCAUCGACUUUUGCCUGUGUUCGGGACUGGAAUAUAGUGGAUUUAUGUGGCGUAUUGAAGGCGCUAUGCAUUCAUUGACGACAAGUAUCCAAAUCAUUGUGUUGGUGAUUUUAUUACUGUCCUUCUGUUCCCAAUCAAAUGAUACUUACAAAGCCCCACCAAGUGAAGGAAGAAAAGAAAAUGCAAGAAAACUUCCUGUACAAAAUAAAUAUGAGUUCAACAAAAAAAAGAAUGCGUGUAUAUAUCUGAUGUGGUUGCAUAUACUGAACCAAAACUGGUACUGGAAGCAUGCACUCCAGAGACAAGAAAGAGACACAAAUACAUAGCCACGAGUAUUGACUCCUGAUCCACAACUUCAGUCAGAAUCGGACUCAGUAUGAAUGUGAAAGCCAUGGGUGCUCUAGGGCCUCCCUUGCAGUUGGACGCCUCAGGGGGUUGAGCUCAAGCAAGUCUCUCACGAAAUCAAUGAACCCAACGUCGGAAACUUGUAGAUGAUGUUCCAGUGAGGAUUCCUCAGGAAUAAGGUAUUCUACUUGAUUUGUCUCCU